GCGUUUUUCAUACGUACGUAUACGCACGUAAAACUUAAUUUAAAUGAAAUAACCAAAUAAAUAAAGCAACAUAAUUUAGUGUUCCGCAAGUUUUAGUAUGCAUGUGUAAAACUUAUUUGUAAAAUAUUUAAAAAUAGAAGGAUUCAAAGUUUUACGUGCGUGUACGUGCGUAUACGAAAAACGC